UCAAAAAUUUCCCUAUAGCUUUUAAAAAAACAGCCAUGCAGUUGAUGUUGUAGGAUGAGACCAGUCUUUGAAAGUAUGAUUCAGGAAAAGAAAAACCUCUUAGCCUUAGAUGUUGAAUGAAACAUUACCAAAAAACAUAUAUUUUUCACAGUGGUGCUAUAACAGUAUUGAUGUCACAGGGGUCCUCAAACUACGGCCUGCAGGCCAGAUGCAGCAGCUGAGGACAAUUAUCCCCCUCACCCAGGGCUAUGAAGUUUCUUUAUUUAAAGGCCCACAAAACAAAGUUUUUGUUUUUACUAUAGUCCAGCCCUCCAACAGUCUGAGGGACAGUGAACUGGCCCCCUAUUUAAAAAGUUUGAGGACCCCUGAAUACUAUUCCUAGCUAAGAAUAUUUCUACCUGAGGCAAAAAUAAUUGAACAGGAAUGAAAGAAUGUAACCCAACCCUUUCCAACAGUAGUUGUAGAAUAUCUUAAUUCUAAGUCACCGUGGCAGGAACCAAACCUCAUCCCCAAAACACUUAACACAGUAGAAGCAAAGGCCCAUUACCUUGUGUCAAUUACAAAUCUAUUACUCUGAAUCUGUGAAAAAGGUAUUAUUACCUAUUACUAUCAUCCAUCAGUCCAUGCUGACUUUGGUAUCAUGCUACAGUAGUUCAAACAUUUAUAAUUCACCAAAGCAGUUUGGCAUCUUUGUAUUAUUUAAUAUUCUUCCAAAGUUGCUGACAGAACGGAGAAAAGUGUGAUGAGCACUGACUGCAUUGCAGGUCAGUGGAAAGAGCUAGUGCUAGAGCCAGGGGAAUUGAGUUAAAAAACCUUUUUUGUGUGUGACCAAGGACAAAUCUUUUAACUCCCAAGAGUUUUAGUUUUCUCAUCUGUAAAAAUGAAUUAGACUAGAUCAUCUCUGAACUUCUAUCCCUGGAUUUAUACUAUAAUCCUUUUUUCCAGAAGGGUAUCCAAUAAAUACAAUAACUGGUAAGCCCAAUCAAGCUUUUUUUUUUUUUUUUUUUUUACUUUUUUACAGUUUUUAAUACUAAGAGUUUUACUAGUUUUUGUGAUUCAUCAGGAAUAUUCUAGAUGGAUGCAUUUAAAUUUAAAUGAGUCAGUUUACCUUUUAUUGUGAAUUUGUGAAGUGCUUCAGCUUUCUUUAUUUCAUUCAUAAUAAUCUUCUGUUAUGCCACAGUUUUCUUUAACUGUCCUGACUCAGUUUCCCUGUCUCAGUUUCCUUAACUGUUCUAUCUCUGACCCAGUAAAACUAAGGAUUAUUCGCUCUCGGGUUAUGAAUUAGCAAGAUAAAAGAGUAGAUCUCCUGACUCUUUUACGGAUUUACAAUAUCCCUUAAAAUAUUCCAAGAUAACCCACGAUAUCUUUACUUCUUUGUCUCUGGAUUUUUUAGAGUUUUAUGGCUUCCCCUCCCUGAUAAAAACUUUCCCUCCCUUUCUCUUCUUUGUCUCCAAAAAGGUAUUUAAGAAGUUGGGGUUCCUCCAUUCAUUGCUGGAGAAUGGCAUCUGGCAGCUGUAUGCUGGACGCUGGAUUCUUUGGGUCCUCCAGCCCUGGGACCAAUAUGGAUUCCUUGGUCCCAGUAUACUUAUCUCUGUCUGACUGGAUAAUCUGAGACGAGAGUCCUGUCCAGUCAAUCUUACUCUCCCAUUAAUAAAAUAUUAAAAACU